CUUGCCUGGAUCCCACAUGGCCUGUGCCACCUCAUCUGAGCUCAGAGCGGGUGCUUGAACUCUACCAGGCCCUGCGAUGGCCCUCAGUCUUGCUCAGGUGAAGUGUUUCUAAGACCACGGGGUCGGGGACUGGAGGGUGGUUUCAUCAGGAUUGCCCCAAAGUGUUUUUUAACUUGGGGACUCUGGUGCUGGAUGACGGCUGCCCUCCCCAGGGAGUGGGGGAGGGGCAGCCUGUGUAAUGAGUAUGGGGAACUAACUGUCAUCUAUGGCCUGGGCAGGGGCCCCUCAUGGAAUUCCAGCACUCUCUCCAUUUAAUGCAUGUCUGUGCUGUGCCAGCCCACUUUCUGCUGUUCCAAGUCUGUUUGUACUUCCCCACAGUGGUGUCCAGCACUGCCCUGGUCAGCAGGGAUAUCCUCCUUGGGAGGAGACAAGCUAGGAUCCUGUCCUAGACUGGAGCCUCCUGCCUGGUAGAAUCCCUUACCCAGCAGAAACUGGCUCCUAGCCCUUGUUCUCUUUUUCCUGGUCCCCAGCCCUUCACUCACCACCCCCAGCACCCCACUGUAUCUCCCAGCCCCUCUGCCCCCCACCUCCCUCUGGCAUUGCCCCUGCACCCUGCUACGGGAUACCCCGUCAUGAUUCCCUCCAGAUGAGACACCUGGGCCUCUCUCACCAGCCUCUGUCCUCUCCUCCAAGCAGCGUCCCCAAGACACAGGGUGGGGGCAAGAGCCUCUCCCAACGCCCCCACUCCCCAUUCUUUCCUUGUCCAUCUGCGUGUCAAACCUGGAGUGACUCUAGCACCUGGUGCCUUAACCCGGUCACAUAAGCCCCCAGCAGUCUCAGGUGUGAUUGACCAAUCAGGUCCCGAAAUGACUGACAAGUGAAAGUGCUUAUGGCUAAAAUGGUCUGAAUCUGGGCUUGGCUUUAAAAUACUCCCGGGGACCCAAAGUAGAGGAAAUGGAUGGAACCGGAUGGAUUUGUGCUGACAUCUGUAGACCCGGGGGCUCAGACACUGCCCUUUCUGCUUUUGUUAAUGUCUGUCCUAUGAAGAGAGUUUUUAAAGGUAGUUGUGGCAUGGAAUUUGUUCCCAGAUG
rnacentral:lncRNA from 1 species